UAGGACUACCCGCUGAACUUAAGCAUAUCAAUAAGCGGAGGAAAAGAAACUAACAAGGAUUCCCCUAGUAACGGCGAGCGAACCGGGAAAAGCCCAACUUGAGAAUCGGACGGCCGCGCCGUUCGAAUUGUAGUCUGGAGAAGCGUCCUCAGCGGCGGACCGAGCCCAAGUCCCCUGGAAAGGGGCGCCGGAGAGGGUGAGAGCCCCGUUGUGCUCGGACCCUGUCGCACCACGAGGCGCUGUCGGCGAGUCGGGUUGUUUGGGAAUGCAGCCCUAAUUGGGUGGUAAAUUCCGUCCAAGGCUAAAUACGGGCGAGAGACCGAUAGCGAACAAGUACCGCGAGGGAAAGAUGAAAAGAACUUUGAAAAAAGAGUCAAAGAGUGCUUGAAAUUGUCGGGAGGGAAGCGGAUGGGGGUCGGCG
rnacentral:rRNA from 14 species